AAGUGAUACCGUUUCGCCGUCGGAUGGCGACGACCAAUGAAGAAUGAUUGAGACACAUAUCAACUCCACAUAAUGAACAAAUGCAUUUCAAUAAAUCUCUUCAAUAAAGUCAUAAAUAGUGUGCAUUACAGAGGUGGAAAAACUCCUUUAUUGUGCCUUUACUGAAGAACCAUACUGUUUGCAUGUUUGAGUGUUUCCAUUUGAUUCUACUUUAUGCUACAGAUGUUUAUUCACAUACUCAAAUGAAAAACAUAUGGUAUUGUUCUAUAUUAGAUUAUUGUAUGUUAUAUACAAAACUACCCUGCACCCUACUGCAUACGGUCAAAAUGAGCUCCACUAAUUUUAUGUUGUUGAUUGGAUUUCCUUUUUGAAUGCAGGAAUUUGGACUUUUUUCCCGUUGAGGGACUGCUGCUCCAAACAUGCACCGAUCCACAGAGAGGAAGAAGCGGGAGGAGAAGCAGGAGGAGAAGGAGAAGGAGAUUGGCUGCUGGGAAAACUGAAAAUGGG
ensembl:lncRNA